UGGGGGAUAUUGCACAAUGGGCGAAAGCCUGAUGCAGCGACGCCGCGUGGGGGAUGAAGGCUUUCGGGUUGUAAACCUCUUUCGCUAUCGAACAAGGCCCGCUUAGGGUGGGUUGAGGGUAGGUGGAGAAGAAGCGCCGGCUAACUACGUGCCAGCAGCCGCGGUAAUACGUAGGGCGCGAGCGUUGUCCGGAACUAUUGGGCGUAAAGGGCUUGUAGGCGGCUUGUUGCGCCUGCUGUGAAAACGCGGGGCUUAACUUCGCGCGUGCAGUGGGUACGGGCAGGCUUGGGUGUGGUAGGGGUGACUGGAAUUCCAGGUGUAGCGGUGGAAUGCGCAGAUAUCUGGAGGAACACCGAUGGCGAAGGCAGGUCACUGGGCCAUUACUGACGCUGAGGAGCGAAAGCAUGGGUAGCGAACAGG
rnacentral:rRNA from 1 species